GCCCUUGGGCGGCGUGCUAUACAUGCAAGUCGAGCGAAUGACGAGGAGCUUGCUCCUCUGAUUUAGCGGCGGACGGGUGAGUAACACGUGGGUAAUCUGCCUGUAAGACGGGGAUAACUCCGGGAAACCGGGGCUAAUACCGGAUAAUAAGAAGAAACGCAUGUUUCUUUUUUGAAAGUCGGUUUCGGCUGACACUUACAGAUGAGCCCGCGGCGCAUUAGCUAGUUGGUGAGGUAACGGCUCACCAAGGCGACGAUGCGUAGCCGACCUGAGAGGGUGAUCGGCCACACUGGGACUGAGACACGGCCCAGACUCCUACGGGAGGCAGCAGUAGGGAAUCUUCGGCAAUGGGCGAAAGCCUGACCGAGCAACGCCGCGUGAGCGAUGAAGGCCUUCGGGUCGUAAAGCUCUGUUGUUAGAGAAGAACAAGUACGAGAGUAACUGCUCGUACCUUGACGGUACCUAACCAGAAAGCCACGGCUAACUACGUGCCAGCAGCCGCGGUAAUACGUAGGUGGCAAGCGUUAUCCGGAAUUAUUGGGCGUAAAGCGCGCGCAGGCGGUCUCUUAAGUCUGAUGUGAAAGCCCACGGCUCAACCGUGGAGGGUCAUUGGAAACUGGGAGACUUGAGUGCAGGAGAGAAAAGUGGAAUUCCACGUGUAGCGGUGAAAUGCGUAGAGAUGUGGAGGAACACCAGUGGCGAAGGCGGCUUUUUGGCCUGUAACUGACGCUGAGGCGCGAAAGCGUGGGGAGCAAACAGGAUUAGAUACCCUGGUAGUCCACGCCGUAAACGAUGAGUGCUAGGUGUUGGGGGGUUCCACCCUCAGUGCUGAAGUUAACACAUUAAGCACUCCGCCUGGGGAGUACGACCGCAAGGUUGAAACUCAAAGGAAUUGACGGGGGCCCGCACAAGCAGUGGAGCAUGUGGUUUAAUUCGAAGCAACGCGAGAACCUUACCAGGUCUGACAUCCUCUGACCACUCUAGAGAUAGAGCUUUCCCCUUCGGGGACAGAGUGACAGGUGGUGCAUGGUUGUCGUCAGCUCGUGUCGUGA
rnacentral:rRNA from 1 species